GGGGAUGUUAUUGGCUUCGACGCUGGUGAUGAAACUCAUAGAUGCAUGCCGAGAGCGCAUUUUCUCUCGUAAAUCAAAUUUGCAUAUUUUAGUCGCAAACGACGAAACUUACGCUCUAGCUGCCUAAGGGCAGUUUGUCCGCUUCCUAGAAUACUUGUGGUUUAGGAACCCGACCGUAGCGCACGCACACAAGUCCGUAUAGAGUCAA
rnacentral:tmRNA from 1 species